rnacentral:ncRNA from 2 species
CUGAAUCGCGUGGGGUGGUUUUUUCUCUGAUGGGAAAAGCCUGAGAUUACACCCGUUGAACCUGAUCCGGUUAAUACCGGCGAAGGGAGCGUCCUGUAUCCGAUCC